AAUUGAAUAUGAGAAAGACCGUAGACAGUGGGUUGUGCGUACUGCACGUAAAUCCCACCGAGGUUUUUUUAAGAUAAAUUCCCUCUGGGGAUCCUCGUGUCUACGGGAUCCUUUUUAAAUUUUUAA
rfam:Thermoanaerobacter tengcongensis MB4, complete genome.